CCCUUAGAUGUUCUGGGCCGCACGCGCGCUACACUGACGAUGGCAACGAGUUUUUCCUUCGCCGAAAGGUGUGGGUAAUCUUUUGAAACAUCGUCGUGCUGGGGAUAGAUCAUUGCAAUUUUUGAUCUUGAACGAGGAAUUCCUAGUAAGCGCGAGUCAUCAUCCCGCGCUGAAUACGUCCCUGCCCUUUGUACACACCGCCCGUCGCUCCUACCGAUUGAGUGGUCCGGUGAGGCUUUGGGAUCUGAGCGGAAAGAGCGUUUCGCUGUUUCUGCUCGGAAAACUCAGUCGAACCUUAUCAUUUAGAGGAAGGAGAAGUCGUAACA
rnacentral:rRNA from 1 species